AGUGGGCCUUGAUCUAAGCUAUAACUCGCUUAUUGGCACAAUUCCAGGCACGAUUGGCCAACUGGGUUCGCUUCAAAAACUUGAUUUGAGUUCAAAUGCACUUAAUGGUCGUAUUCCAGAUAGCAUAGAGAAGCUCAGUUCACUGGCUUUCAUGGCUUUGAGUGACAACAGAUUCAGUGGAACUUUUCCAGCUGGAUUGCCAAAAUUACAAAGCUUGCAGUGCUUUAUCAUGGAUGACAAUCCAAUA
rnacentral:misc_RNA from 1 species